GAAAGCGGGACUCUGAAAGCCGAUUUUGUCUUGCUGCAGGACGGGGGUGGCCUCCGGGGAGCGGCUGUGCCUCCCCAAGUCCACACUGUGAGCCUGUGGGACUGCGCCAGCUCUAGGGGCUUCUCGCGCUUGUUUUUCUUGUGUUCCCUGAUAUCCAGGAGGUUCCUGAGGAAUAUCUGUCUCCUCACAUCAAGUUGCAAAGUCCUGCCCAGAUACCUGGCUAUCGAGUUCUGAUCCUCGGGAAAAACAGAGGCAGUAGAAGAUGGUGAGAUGCCGUCGAACACAUCAACCCCAGGACACGGUGACCUUCCCCGACGUGACCGUGAUCUUCACCCCAGAGGAGUGGACGUGCUUGGAUGCCUCUCCAAGGAAGCUCUACAAGGAUGUGAUACUGGAGAACUACCAGCACCUGUGGGCCAUUGGGCAUUCUGGGGUGAAGCCUGCAGUGAUAUCCUGGCUGGAAGGAGGAACCCUGAGGCCGGAUCGGAGAGCCAUGCAUGCAGAACUCAAAGCAUGUCUUCAGGAUUUUGGAACUCAGUCACCGAGUAUGAGUGAGCCGGAAAGCAGCCAGCCCGAGUGGAAUGUCUCUGACCAUUAACACUGUGCAAAAGUUUCGAGUGUGCAUUUGUGCCCUCAGCCACACAGGAUUGCCAAGGCAAGCAGGAUAGCCUCUGAGGGUGAUCAGAAUGGAGAGAGCAACCUCACUCUGAAUAAUCCCUCCCCGGGGAAAAGUUUCACACAGUCUGUUGUUCUGAGUCUAUGGACACAAACCCCAACAUUGGGGCAGACCCUUUAAUGUGGGAGAGGAGCACUGUUUACAGUGAGUCCUCCACACCGAAAGGCCCACAAGCAAAGUCACCAUGGGUUCACCCUGUCCAAGAGUAAGAAAUGUGGGGGAGCUUCCCCGUGUUCCCAGGACCGUGAUGUUCCCUUAGAAACCCACAGUGUACAGAAUCCCCAAAAGUGUCAUCAGCAAGGUCGUGGUUUGAAUCCGGCAUCACCCCAAUGUGAUGACAUGAACAUCCACAAAGGAGGGAAACCACAUACAUGUAAAGACUGUGCGAAGGCCUUCACUCGACCCUCAAACCUCUUAAAACAUUGUAGAAUCCAUAUUGGAAAGAAAGCGUAUGUGUGUGAGCAAUGUGGGAAGGUCUUUGGUUAUUACUCACACCUUUCUAGACACAGGAAAAUUCAUACUGGAGAGAAACCUCAUAAAUAUAAGACACGCGGAAAGGCCUUCACUCGAUCGUCAACCCUUUCUGGGCAUAUGAAAACUCAUACUGAAGAGAUGCCUUAUAUUUGUAAGGAAUGUGGGAAGGCCUUUAGUUAUUCCUCCUUUAGUUAUUCACGAUGGAGUGAAGCCUUAUGGAUGUAAGGUAUGUGGAAAGGCCUUUGUUUAUUCCUCAAGACUUACCUGUCAUAUGAGAAUUCACACUGGAGAGAGACCAUAUGUUUGUAAUGAAUGUGGGAAGGCCUUUGUUGUAUCCUCAGGUCUUACUUGACAUAUGAGAAUUCACAAUGGAGAGAAGCCUUAUGGAUGUAAGGUAUGUGGAAAGGCCUUUGUGGAAUCCGCAACCGUUAUUCGGCAUAUGCGAAAGCACACUGGAGUUUGUAAGGAGUGUGGGAAGGCCUUUGUUUCUGCCUCAACCCUUACUGGUCAUGUGAGAAUUCACAAGAGAGAGACCAUUUGUUUGUAAGGAACGUGGGAGGGCCUUCCAUCAGGCCUCCGGCCUAUAUGUACAUAGGGCAGUUCACGCUGGUGUGAAAUCUUAUAUAUGUCAAGAAUGUGGGAAGGCCUUUGUGUUUCAUUCUGGUCUUAGGAAACAUCGUAAAAUUCAUAUUAAAUAACUCAAUGCCAUAAUAACAAUUUUUUAAUGUCAAAACAGGCCCCUUUGGAAAAGUCUGUUUUCUUUGUACCAUGGGAUGCUGUGCUACAAAAGUGAAGCCAGGGAGGUAAUAAUCCUGUCUAUGUGUAACAAACUUUCUGUGAUGUCAGUCUGUAAGGGAAAGUCUAUGACAGGGUCCCCGAAUUUGAACUUGAUGUGUAUCUUAACAUGUACUUUUCAGAUUUCUCCUGAAAGCUAAGAGGAAUGUGAAUAAAAAUGCAAAAAAAAAUCCCCUUUGCUCAGGGCUGUCAAGGUCAAGAGUGGCCGAGAUUAGUACCAGGAAUUUUGCUGCAUGGCUUGGCGGCCAGCCACACAUGCUAGGGGAAAAGGCAGCCCAGGUAGAGAAGGGAGCACCAAAUAAAGGGUAAUGGGAGGAUCCUCCCAGGAUGGGAGAAGCAUGCUGAAAGUAGACUAUAGACCAAACAUGAUUGCCAUUCAAUGCCUCUUUUGCAAACCACAACACCUAAAAGGAGAGAGAGAACAAAGGGGAAUGCCCAUACGAAGAGGCAGGGUGGGAUGAGGGGGUGGGGGUUGGGAGGGAUACAGGGAUCCGUGGUGGUGGGAAAUGGGCACUGGUUGAGGGAUGGGUAUUUGGUCAUUGUAUACUUGAAACCCAAGCACAAAAAUUUGUAUGUCUACAACUGUACCUCAUGAUGUCUCACUAAUUAAAAUUAAAAAAUAAAAGAAUGAAUAAAAAGGCAAAAUAAAAUCA